GAUGAACGCUGGCGGCGUGCUUAACACAUGCAAGUCGAACGAUGAAGCCCAGCUUGCUGGGUGGAUUAGUGGCGAACGGGUGAGUACACGUGAGUAACCUGCCCUUAACUCUGGGAUAAGCCUGGGAAACUGGGUCUAAUACCGGAUAGGAGCGUCCACCGCAUGGUGGGUGUUGGAAAGAUUUAUCGGUUUUGGAUGGACUCGCGGCCUAUCAGCUUGUUGGUGAGGUAAUGGCUCACCAAGGCGACGACGGGUAGCCGGCCUGAGAGGGUGACCGGCCACACUGGGACUGAGACACGGCCCAGACUCCUACGGGAGGCAGCAGUGGGGAAUAUUGCACAAUGGGCGAAAGCCUGAUGCAGCGACGCCGCGUGAGGGAUGACGGCCUUCGGGUUGUAAACCUCUUUCAGUAGGGAAGAAGCGAAAGUGACGGUACCUGCAGAAGAAGCACCGGCUAACUACGUG
rnacentral:rRNA from 1 species